CUAUAUCUAUCCAUUUUAAGAUUAUGUGAAUUAUGUGAAAAUGACUUCUUACUGAGUUUUUUAUUCUUACAGGUGUUUCUAGGAAGGCUAAAAAUUUUAUGCCAAUUGUUUAUGGAGUAUUGGCUGUCUUUAUAUUUUUGACUUUACUGGCAUUUUUAAGUGGAUGUUUCAAAUCAAGAAUACAAGCAGCAUUUCCUUUUCAUCUCUCAUGCUGUGGCUACACUGGUGAGCAGGAAGAAGAGGAGUCCACCGUAAUUUAUUCAUCUGUUAUCACCAGGACUCCUCCAAAACCAAGAAACCAACAUACAGAUGGCACCGACUGUGUUUACAGCGAAUUAAAACUAUAGAGGAAAUUCCCCAGGUUAAAAAAAAA